rnacentral:rRNA from 1 species
UAACAAGGAUUCCCCUAGUAACUGCGAGUGAAGCGGGAAGAGCUCAAAUUUAAAAUCUGGCAGUCUCUGACUGUCCGAGUUGUAACCUGUAGAGGCAUUUUCUGCGUUGGACCGUGUACAAGUCUCCUGGAAUGGAGCGUCAUAGAGGGUGAGAAUCCCGUCCAUGACACGGACCCCCCAAUGCUCUGUGAUAUGCCUUCUAAGAGUCGCGUUGUUUGGGAAUGCAGCGCAAAAUGGGUGGUAAAUUCCAUCUAAAGCUAAAUAUUGGCGAGAGACCGAUAGCGAACAAGUACCGUGAGGGAAAGAUGAAAAGCACUUUGGAAAGAGAGUUAAACAGUACGUGAAAUUGUUGAAAGGGAAACGCUUGAAGUCAGUCGCGUUCCGUGGAACUCAGCCUUACUUCGGUUUGGUGUACUUUCCAUGUGAACGGGUCAACAUCAAUUUCGGCCGGUGGAUAAAGGUGAGGGGAAUGUAGUGUUGCUUCGGCAACGUGUUAUAGCCCCUUGUUGUAUACACUGGUUGGGAUUGAGGACUGCAGCACGCCCUUGUGGCCGGGGGUUCGCCCUACGUAUUGUGCUUAGGAUGUUGGCAUAAUGGCUUUAAGCGACCCGUCUUGAAACACGGACCAAGGAGUCUAACAUGCUUGCAAGUGUUCGGGUGGAAAACCCUUGCGCGUAAUGAAAGUGAAAGUUAGGAACCCUCGAAAGAGGGUGCACUGACGCCCGGCCCUGACGUUCUCUGAUGGUGCUGCGGUAGAGCAAGUAUGUUGGGACCCGAAAGAUGGUGAACUAUGCCUGAAUAGGGCGAAGCCAGAGGAAACUCUGGUGGAGGCUCGUAGCGAUUCUGACGUGCAAAUCGAUCGUCAAAUUUGGG